AUUGAACGCUGGCGGCAUGCCUUACACAUGCAAGUCGAACGGUAACGGGCCUUCGGGUGCCGACGAGUGGCGAACGGGUGAGUAAUACAUCGGAACGUGCCCGAUCGUGGGGGAUAACGAGGCAAAAGCUUUGCUAAUACCGCAUACGAUCUACGGAUGAAAGCAGGGGACCGCAAGGCCUUGCGCGGACGGAGCGGCCGAUGGCAGAUUAGGUAGUUGGUGGGAUAAAAGCUUACCAAGCCGACGAUCUGUAGCUGGUCUGAGAGGAUGAUCAGCCACACUGGGACUGAGACACGGCCCAGACUCCUACGGGAGGCAGCAGUGGGGAAUUUUGGACAAUGGGCGCAAGCCUGAUCCAGCCAUGCCGCGUGCAGGAUGAAGGCCUUCGGGUUGUAAACUGCUUUUGUACGGAACGAAAAGCCUUCUUUUAAUACAGGAGGGUCAUGACGGUACCGUAAGAAUAAGCACCGGCUAACUACGUG
rnacentral:rRNA from 1 species